rnacentral:tRNA from 1 species
AUUUAAGUAGUUUAUUAAAACAUUACAUUUUCAAUGUAAAAUUAAAGAUUUAUCUUUCUUAUUUA